GCCGCGGGCCUCGGGUGGCCGCGAGCCCAGCCCUGCGCCUCCCAGCGUCCCCGCGCCCCCGCCCUGGCUCCAGAGAGCGGCCGGCUGGGGGUGCGAUGCGGGGUGUGGGGGAGGAGGGGGUGAUUUACAGCCGCGCCGGGCGGACUCGAGCGAAAUCACUUCGACCGGGGAAACCGACUCCCAAGGCUCAGACCGGAAGAGGCCCUGAAAGGGGAGAGGGGAACGGGGGCAGGAGGAGGCCAGCCUCCACUACCCGCGCGGGCUGCGCUCCGGAGACAGCGGCCAUGCAGCUUCCCGCUCUAUGCCCACCUUUGUGCCGGGAAUUGAGCUCCUGGGAGAGCUGGGUAUCCCUCGCCCCGGCGGACCGCUGCCCCGCGCGCCCGCCGCGCAAGCCCCGGGCCUUUUCCACGCGGACCCGCCCAGCCCAAGAACGCUGCUGUCCCACGGCACGCGGGGCGCCAAAUUCGCACCUUUGGGCUGCUUUUACGCGGUUGGAAGCAAAAGGAACUUAGACGCUAGCUCCCAGAGGUCCCCAGAGAAGCCUAGGAACCCCUAGGUCCCACCUCUAUUUAAACACAAUUUGCUUUUUUUUUUUUUUUUUUGCAGCUCAGAAAAUAAACAGUUAAGAGGGCAGCGAGACUGUGCUUAGAAUCUUAAGAUUUUCUUAUAAAUGACCCGAGAGUUUCGUUGCUGAGUUCUCUGCCUCUCCUCAUCAUUCUUAAUACCUAAAAGAAAUAAGCGCUCCCUAAAAUUUUGGCUUUUCCAUUAACUUCUGUAUGCUCUCUGAUCAAACAUCACUUGGGGGUGGAGGGGUGUGCAAAUAGUGAAAUAAAAUAAACGUAUGGUUUCAACUUGAACUAAGAAAUCCUAAGUGGUAGUUCUAAAGUAAAACGUAAUUUUAUUCAAAUUUUGUACAUAUAUUUGGCUGGCUGUGAUGACUUUUCCUACCUACAGCUUUAUCACUAGAAACAGGAGUUGGUGAAAAUGUGCACAAGGAAUAUGGUAUUAGGUUGGACAACUACUCACAGUUAAGAUGCCCAGAGAGACGUGAAUUCACUUGAGCACCCUAACCAUUACUUUCUGCCCAAACAAAAGUCGACAAAGCCAAGCAACAAAGUUAAUGGAGCCCCCUUUUUGUAAGGUGAAGGCUUUUUCAGAAAGAUUUUCUAAAAUAAAUACGCCAACUUAAAAUAUAUUUUUAACUACUGAUUGCUAUUCUAAAAUGCAAGAUUAUGGGGUAAAAGGUCGAAAGUAAAUGUACAACUGUCCUGCUUGUAUAAAGGAGUAAAGAAAACAGUUUCCCAGGAAAAGAGAAUCAACUUGUAAAUGGCUUUACUUGUUACUUUACUUGGAUAUUUCCUUCUAUCCGCCCUUCUCCCCUGUGUCAGUACCAUUAGUUCUAAGUCUGGCCUUGAAGUAUGGGCAGCCGAACAUCUCUAUUCUUGAUAAACAGAAAAACAUAUAUACUCAUAAAGUCAAAGGCAUGAGAAAUGGAGGUCAGUACUUUCCAGGCUCCACUCCCCAAAACCACUGCACAGGUUGGCAAAGGCGCUGCCUCUGAUUACAAAGACUUAUGGAAGGAAAGUCUUUUCUAUCUGUAAUUGAGACUCCAAAAAGAAUUGUUUUACAAAGCCACGCUGCUCUAAAAGCAGCUUGAUCCGACCUCGGCCCCACUGGUCCAGCCAAGCUCACUGAGAAGUUUAGGUUCACCCUCAAUCUCAUUUUAAUCCCUAGGAAGCCGAACACACUUCUUAGCCUUUAUUCUUAACCUUUUCAUCUCGCGUGGUGCUGUGCUUAUGGUGCACACUUUAAGGAAAUGUUUUUGCAAAAAAAUUAACUGGAUGAGUAUUUUAAUCGAAGAAAAACUUUCCUUGGACAAAAAUCUCAAGAGGAAGUUUCACAUCAAAGCAAGGACCAACAAAGCUUAUUUUCGUACUAUGGAGAUCCUUAAGAGUGCUAGUACCUUCUCACUUCAUUUAGCUAUGAAAUAUAAAAGUGUUUGGUUUUCAAUUUUUCUAAAUUACUUGUGGGGUACAGGGAUCGGCGGGAUACUGAGAUUAGAAGGCGAUCCUUAUGCCAUCUGGCGGUGCCGCGCGGAAUUUCGCUGAAGAAGCUAAAUUUAUCGACCAUCUGUGCCUGGAAAGUCUUUGUGAAUCUUGUCCUUUAGAAACCAAGGAGGGAAACAGCCUCCCUCUCCAAGGAUUAAUUUGAAGACAGAGAUUCCCUGUGUUGGUAAAAAUGAGAGGAAAAUCGUGUGCAAUGAAAGUUCACCGUUUCAUGACAUGGAUUUCUAAGCUAAACCAUCAUAUAUGUGCACUACCUAACUCUUGGGUUUUUAAGAUGGAUAAUUAUAGCCCAGUGACAUAAAAGUUUGGGAACGGUGAAGGCAAACUGUGGGGUUGAAUAUUUUGCUGCAUUUAUCUACUGUGCAGGCGUCUGUGCAAUAUCCACCACUGAACACCUGAGGGCGCACUCAAGUCUAUCCAGCCGCUGGUAAUCUGAUUCCUUCCUUCAUUUGCAUGUAUUGCCUUGAUUGGCUGUUAGGCGUUUAAAACGUCAAUUUUACGUCAAACAUUGUUCAACCAAUCAGCAACCUACUCCAGCGUGAUUGGUUUCUACCCUAUGUGUCAAUCAUCUUAAAUUUGCAUACCAGUCCGCUGGUCCCUAGGAGCUAGUCAGUCGCUUGUGGCUGCUGAAGAGAAAGAAUCGGACGGAGAAGAAUGAAAAAUCACUUUGUUCUAGCAAAGCGAAAGAAAAAAACACCUCAAAAUAAGAACAAAAGAAAAAAAAAAUCUCAGGGCCCGCGAAGAGGUAAUUACAAGUUUUAAAUUUCAGAAUUCGUAAAACCGAAGCUUUUAUUUACCAGUUACAAAAUUCUUCUAGGGCUAGUGUAA